rnacentral:rRNA from 1 species
GCUGACCGAUAGUGCACAAGUACCGUGAGGGAAAGGUGAAAAGUACCCCGAGAGGGGAGUGAAAUAGUACCUGAAACCGCAUGCCUACAAACAGUCGGAGCUCGAAAGAGUGACGGCGUACCUUUUGCAUAAUGAGCCAGCGAGUUGCGUUUCGUGGCGAGGCUAAGCCGUCAGGUGGAGCCGUAGGGAAACCGAGUCUGAAUAGGGCAUUAGUCACGGGAUGCAGACCCGAAGCCAGGCGAUCUACCCAUGGCCAGGGUGAAGCGUGGGUAACACUGCGUGGAGGCCCGAACUCACCGAGGUUGAAAACUCGGGGGAUGAGCUGUGGGUAGGAGUGAAAGGCUAAUCAAGCUUGGAAAUAGCUGGUUCUCCCCGAAAGAUAUUGACGUAUCGCGUCGGAUAGCGCCACUGGGGGUAGAGCACUGACAGGGCUAGGGGUCCAUAAGGAUUACCAAACCCUAUCAAACUCCGAAUACCGGCGAGCGACGUCCGGCAGGCAGGCUGCGGGAGAUAAGUUUCGUAGCCAAAAGGGAAAGAGCCCA